rnacentral:lncRNA from 1 species
CUAGAUCUUAAAAUCUGCGUUUGCGUCACUAAACCUACAUUCUUCUGCAAGGCAUCUGACCUUUGUAAGGUAUGAGAUCUUCUGUGAAUCGUUUCCAUCAAUGCAUCAGUCAAUCAAUCUUCACCAACACCACACGCCAUCAGCAACUCCAUUUUGUUGUUUCUUCUAAUGGAAGCGGCUCUCCAUGAGAGUUCUGAUGAGUUCGAGUGAUGAACGAGGACACAGUUUGGUGAGAGGUACCAGUCCCUGGGUCCCCGUCCCCCAUCCGUACACAACGUCCUUCGGCUCUCGCAGGCGCAUCAUGUGCCGCCGGAGCGGACAGAUGAAGAAGAGGAUAUUAAGUGACUC